rnacentral:rRNA from 1 species
ACGAACGCUGGCGGCGUGCUUCACACAUGCCAGUCGAACGGAAAGGCCUGCUUUCCCUUGUGGAUUGCGGGUACUCGAGUGGCGAACGGGUGAGUAACACGUGAGUGAUCUGCCCCCAACUUGGGUAUAAGCCUGGGAAACUGGGUCUAAUUCCCGAUAGGACUGCAGGGUGGUGCCUGUGGUGGAAAACGAUUUUCUAGUGGUUGGGGAUGAGCUCGCGGCCUAUCAGCUUGUUGGUGGGGUAAUGGCCUACCAAGGCGGCGACGGGUAGCCGGCCUGAGAGGGUGGACGGCCACAUUGGGACUGGGACACGGCCCAGACGCCUACGGGAGGCAGCAGUGGGGAAUAUUGCACAAUGGGCGGAAGCCUGAUGCAGCGACGCCGCGUGGGGGAUGACGGCCUUCGGGUUGUAAACUCCUUUCGACCGCGAGGAAGCCACCUGGUUGGAAGGGUGGUGACGGUAGUGGUAGAAGAAGCACCGGCUAACUACGUG